AUGUUUUCUGCAGCCUUCAGAGGACUCUGGGCAAUAUCCAGUUCUUCCCCACCAUCAUCAAGACCAGCUUCAUUGGAACUCCUCUUGCGAGGUGCACCAACACCACCACGGCCUCUACCGCGAAAAUUGCCCUGGGGAAAGGUGGACCUGCGCUCAUUCUGUUGUUCAAGACGGGAUGUUCUUCUCUUGGCUACAAGACACUUCCCCCAUUGUAUGCUUUCCUUGGGGUGCACCCCGUCGCCGCAUUCCUCCUUGUCGUGGCCAAGGAGGCCGCAUACUUCACAGAAGAAGCCAGUUUUCUCAUAUUUGACUUCAAGAAAGAUUCUCUCGCCUGCAAGGUUCAGGGGAGUCCACCGGAUCAGUGGUUUCGAGACAUCUAUGCUUGCGCGCAGACGGAUGUAG
rnacentral:rRNA from 1 species